GAGGCUUUAGCUUAAUUAAAGUGUCUGAGUUGCAAUCAGGAGAUGUGCAUGUGUACAAGUCUUA
rnacentral:tRNA from 1 species